GGUGUGGGGGCGCUCGCCCUAUUGCUGCUGCCGCUGGGUCUAGGGUGGGCGGCCGGCCUCGCGGUCCGGCGGUCGCCUGAUCCUCACAGAAGCUGUCGGAGCUAGGCUGGCCAGUUCGGUAGACCCUAGGCACGGUGGCUGCCGAGCAUUGAAACGUAGGUAAUCUGAACUGAGAUGGGCUGUUAAGUGUGAAGAACACACUGGCUUUUAUGGGCUCAGUAAGUUAAAAUAAUGUGAAAUAUUUCAUUACUGAUUCUUAAAUAUUGAUGGUCUAUCAAAAUAAUAGUGUUUUGGAUACAUUGUGUUAAAUGACUUGUUUUGAAAUUAGAAAAUGUAAAAUUACAUACUUGGUUUCCAUUUGCUGCUCACUUACGCAUAUUUUUGUUGACUACCACCGGCUUCUGGUAAGCAUUAUUACUACCCCAAUUUCAUAGCUCCGAAAGCGAGGUUGAAAGACCUGACCAGCCACAAAGCUAGGAAGGGAAGGAAUCUAAAGCCUUUGUAUAAAUAAAAAGCCCAGGUGCCUUGGAGCUGGCUUUGUGGUAGGAGAUGAGAAGCCAUAUAUGAAAGCACAUUGAGUUUAUGGAGUAAAAAUGCCUUGGUAAAACCCAAGGUGAUGGGCUGGGCGCGGUGGCUCACGCCUGUAAUCCCAGCACUUUGGGAGGCUUAGGCGGGUGGAUCACGAGGUCAGGAGAUCGAGACCAUCCUGGCUAACACGGUGAAACCCCGUCUCUACUAAAAAUACAAAAAAAUUAGCCGAGCCUGGUGGCAGGCAUCUAUAGUCCCAGCUACUCGGGAGGCUGAGGCAGGAGAAUGGCGUGAACCCGGGAGGCGGAGCUUGCAGUGAGCCGAGAUGGCGCCACUGCACUCCAGCCCAGGCGACAGAGCCAGACUGCGUCUCAAUAAAAAACAACAACAAAAAACCCAAGAUGAUGCUGUCAUUCCUAAUGUGCACCCUACCUGCCACCUCAAUAGUUGGUCUGUAUCGGAGGUGGAAACUAAAGCCAGAUGUCUGUGAGUAGCCUCUUAGGCCAAGUUAGGUCUUAAUCACCCCAGCUUUAGGAAGCGCCCAGCAUCCUCCCAGAUGUAGGUAGGCAGGUGCCUAGUGCCUCUUCUCAGGGUGGGGACAGAUUUCCUAGAAUUUCUCCUCCUCUCUCCCCUCUCCCUGCUGCUGGGCCCCCAGUGGACAACCUGUCCCUCGGAUGCUACUCCCAGGUACCCAGGGCUUGACCUCCACCUUCUCCCCACCCCCACCCCAACUCUCACAUCUUGGCUCUUCACCACAGCCGGAGCCUUCCAGAUCCUCUCCAGAGAAUGGCUCUCCUUGGGGUACCUUCACUCAUUACACAGUUCUGAAAAGAUUUUUCCAGAGAUAAUUGCUUCUUGGCCUUUGUGUUUUAAUUCAGCGUGAAAUCUGAGGCCAAAUAGGAGCAGAGGAUGAGACCUGAAAGGGACAGCACUAGGGACACGGGGACCCCUAGCAGCUGGGCGUUUCCCGGCCUGUGGAGCAUGUGCCCACUCUGCUGUUCCUAGCUCAGUCCUCCAGCAAGUCACUGCACCUCUCUGAGCUUCUCUGGAAAUGGGUUUUUCUUACGUUGGGGAGCUGGGAGGCACUGUGCGUGAACUGGACAUUAGUGAGCGCACAGAAAAUAAAUCCAUGGCAGUGUUCACGGGCGCAGGCCAGGUACCUGAUUGUCUGCUCUGGAUCGCUGGCAGUGAAUGUUCUGCCCAAGUCGGCCUUCUCCUGCCUGGCAGUUCACGCCCAGCCUACUUCUCUCUGACGCGCUCCUCCCUCGGUGCCGCCCGUGAUGUGUGUUAGUAUAUAAUCAGAGAAACUCACACGCGGAGUUUUAAAUAAUGCCUGCCCUGCCUAAGGUGACUCAUCUGAGGCCGUGAGUUCCUGCUCUCCCCUCCCUCGCGGCAAGUGUAGAUAUCCCCAACCCCACCUCGCUGUCACUAAGCAACUCGACCUUGUACAGCACCGAUGCAGAUAAUAACAGGAGGAAAUAGAGCCUGCUAAUUGUCCCCUUCCCUAGAAUAGGUUUUUAAGGAGCAAUCUCUCCCCUUUCAUGUAUUUUUCAGUGUCUAAAGAGGAGCAGCUCCACCGGCUGUUGGGUGGGCCGGGGAUGGGGAAGGGGAAGAGGACCAACCUCCUCCAGCCUCAAGUCACUUCCUGCUUUAGACAGGAUGCCACUCGCAGUGUCUGAGCCACCCCUACCCUGAAGGCAUCAUUGGCGGGGUGAGGGGCGGGGGGCGGGGAAGGGCAGGUGUAAUGACAAAAUUCAGACUAGAGAAUGUGUUCCAGGUAGGAGGCUGAGCCACAUCUGUCUUUCACAAAAGGACAUAAGCUCUUACCCUUUUGCCUGCCCUUCCCGCCUGCUGCUUCAGAGGGCCCAACGAGAAGGGUCCUGGUGAGAAUGUUCUAGUGAAACGUACCCUGUGAAUAUGUGGUGUUAUGAUGAUAUCGUUACUGUUCACUGAUGCCAUCUCUAAGGGUGACAGUCGUGAUCUAGUUGAAAUAGAUUUAGUUGGUCCAAGUAAGAGAGUCCUGGAACUUCAAAAACACUAGUUUCCUCUGCAGAAUGAUGAAAACCCAAGGACCAUCCCAGCAAUACAAUUGUCUAAAUUUGUAUGGUACAGUCUUGCAUCCUGUUUGUGCCCUCAGAGAACUAGCCACACUCUCCGCUCCAACUUCUCUUUCCCAUGAAACUCAUCCAGUGCAGCCCCUGUCUGCUAUUUUUUAAAUAAAAGCAUCUCUUUAUGAAGAUGGAAGAAUUUUGUUCAAAG
rnacentral:lncRNA from 10 species